UCCAAGUAUUAUUUAUAAGUAUUUUUCCAAAGUAUUUUCAUGUUAAAAAAUAAAACGUAAUAAAAAAAUUCACUAAAAAACUAGAAAAACAAAUGAAAAAUUAAAGGAAAAAGAAAAGAAAAGAGAAAAAAAGAGGCAGGCAUGUGCUGUAAAACAUAGGUGCUGGGAGUAAUCUAGUGUGGGCUUUGAGAAGCCCAAUUGCAAGCUAUGGCUCCAGACUAGAGGAUGCACUCUGUUGAUGGGGUGUAAAGAGAAAUUCUAUGUGGGCUUUGAAAGUAAUCCCAAAUCAAUUUAGCCUAGCUCAGGGGAAGGAAUAGGGUGAUGGCCAGUAAACCAAUGGGCUUUGGACCUACAGGCCCAGGAUGCUGAAGCAAGUUCAAGAAUGGGAGGUUCAACAUGAAAUUGUGAGGGUAUAACAAAUAAAACGAUGGGCCCAAGGCCCAAACGCACUCAUUGCAAGAGAGGGAAAGCAAAUGUUCAACAUCACUUCAACUCAUUUGUUCCUUCCUUAUUCAGUUCAUUCUCAAAUGACCUUGGCCGAAAAACCUAGCUCUGGCGCUCCGGAAAUCGCCUCCGACGGCGAAGGAGGGCCAACUACCACAAAUCAAGCAUCAACGUAAACGUCUUGCCCUCCUCUUUCUCCCUACCAUAUUCAAUCAUCCUAAAUGAU
rnacentral:lncRNA from 1 species